ACGCUGGCGGCAGGCCUAACACAUGCAAGUCGAGCAGUAGAGAGAAGCUUGCUUCUCUUGAGAGCGGCGGACGGGUGAGUAAUGCCUAGGAAUCUGCCUGGUAGUGGGGGAUAACGUUCGGAAACGGACGCUAAUACCGCAUACGUCCUACGGGAGAAAGCAGGGGACCUUCGGGCCUUGCGCUAUCAGAUGAGCCUAGGUCGGAUUAGCUAGUUGGUGGGGUAAUGGCUCACCAAGGCGACGAUCCGUAACUGGUCUGAGAGGAUGAUCAGUCACACUGGAACUGAGACACGGUCCAGACUCCUACGGGAGGCAGCAGUGGGGAAUAUUGGACAAUGGGCGAAAGCCUGAUCCAGCCAUGCCGCGUGUGUGAAGAAGGUCUUCGGAUUGUAAAGCACUUUAAGUUGGGAGGAAGGGCAUUAACCUAAUACGUUAGUGUUUUGACGUUACCGACAGAAUAAGCACCGGCUAACUCUGUGCCAGCAGCCGCGGUAAUACAGAGGGUGCAAGCGUUAAUCGGAAUUACUGGGCGUAAAGCGCGCGUAGGUGGUUUGUUAAGUUGGAUGUGAAAUCCCCGGGCUCAACCCUGGGAACUGCAUUCAAAACUGACUGACUAGAGUAUGGUAGAGGGUGGUGGAAUUUCCUGUGUAGCGGUGAAAUGCGUAGAUAUAGGAAGGAACACCAGUGGCGAAGGCGACCACCUGGACUAAUACUGACACUGAGGUGCGAAAGCGUGGGGAGCAAAC
rnacentral:rRNA from 1 species